CUGGAGUCAAAGGGUGAGCUGUCAUGUAGGUGCUGGGAACCAAACCCAGGUCCUCUGGAAGAGCAGUCAGCUAUCUUCUCCCACUUCUGGGCCACAGCCACAGAGGCCAUGGAGUUGGUGGCCAGAGACUCUGGCCCCCUCCUAUCUGCAGUCACCUGGACACAGGCGAUCAUCUUGCCAUUCUAGGCUGCCACUCUCCCCCUCAUCCUGUAGGACCAAUACUCAUCCUGCUGCAGGAUACUGCUCUACGUUCCAGCAGUGUGGUGAUCAUCACCUCACGGGGCAUCAUCAGGAGCAUACACCCUCUUCAGCCUGAUGCCCAGGCCACUGUGGACAUCACAGCACAGGCAGCCCUGGGGACCACAACUCAAGUGAUGUCAUUAAAAGGCCCUCCCACCUCUCAGAGAGUGGAUACCACAGGCCAAUGUUGGCUCUACAUGGAAAUCCCUCACACCCUUCUCUCUCCUCACCUCUUACACACCCCUUUUCCUAGCUCAGGAGCCUGUUGCCUAGGUGAUGCUUGGUUGGUUUCUGUGAUGAUGACAUCCUGUUACCCCAGGAAGCAUGGUUGAUAGCAUGCUGUCUGAGUGAUGACCUACUGAAGCUCUGCCCCUCACCAAGUCAGUUCAUGUGACUCCUUGAGCAUCUGUGUUCUCUGAGACCACAAACCCCAGAUAAUGGGUAAAAGAAAACCCACCUGGUCUUGGGGCACCCCUUCAUCAGUUCUUCCUCCAGCACCCCAAUGGCUGCCAGCCAACUCAUAGCUCAUCUCCUUCUCACAUCCGUCCCUUCUCCUCUUCUCUCUCCUCCCUCCCUCCUAAACUCUUCUCAGCUCUGGGA
rnacentral:lncRNA from 1 species